rnacentral:misc_RNA from 1 species
GUGAAAUAACCUGGGACUUGACGUCCCAAACCAUCUCACAUCCACACACCUUUGUGCACUGUUGAAUGGGUCUAAUAAAUAUAUAUAUAUUUCUUUGGCCUAUUCUAUUAUUUUACAAACAUCUUAUGUAUGUAAGGAAAGUGUUAUCAAAAGAAAUAAAAAAAUAAUAA